UACGGGGGGUGCGAGCGUUGUCCGGAAUCACUGGGCGUAAAGGGUGCGUAGGUGGCGCUGUAAGUCGGGUGUGAAAUUUCGGAGCUUAACUCCGAAACUGCAUUCGAUACUGCGGUGCUUGAGGACUGGAGAGGAGACUGGAAUUCAUGGUGUAGCAGUGAAAUGCGUAGAGAUCAUGAGGAAGACCAGUGGCGAAGGCGGGUCUCUGGACAGUUCCUGACACUGAGGCACGAAGGCCAGGGGAGCAAACGGG
rnacentral:rRNA from 1 species